UACGUAGGGGGCAAGCGUUAUCCGGAAUUACUGGGUGUAAAGGGCGUGUAGGCGGGACUGCAAGUCAGAUGUGAAAAUUAUGGGCUCAACCCAUAACCUGCAUUUGAAACUGUGCUUCUUGAGUGCUGGAGAGGCAGACGGAAUUCCUAGUGUAGCGGUGAAAUGCGUAGAUAUUAGGAGGAACACCAGUGGCGAAGGCGGUCUGCUGGACAGUAACUGACGUUGAGGCUCGAAAGCGUGGGGAGCAAACAGG
rnacentral:rRNA from 1 species